UACGGGGGGAGCAAGCGUUGUUCGGAUUUACUGGGCGUAAAGGGCGCGUAGGCGGCGCAACAAGUCACUUGUGAAAUCUCCGGGCUUAACCCGGAGCGGUCAAGUGAUACUGUCGUGCUAGAGUGCGGAAGGGGCUACUGGAAUUCUCGGUGUACGCGGUGAAAUGCGUAGAUAUCGAGAGGAACACCUGCGGCGAAGGCGGGUAGCUGGGCCGACACGUGACGCUGAUGCGCGAAAGCCAGGGGAGCGAACAGG
rnacentral:rRNA from 1 species